rnacentral:lncRNA from 1 species
GUUCUCACAAAUUGAAACUCUUUGUUGAUUCACUUACAUAUACUAUGAUAAAUAAUAUUCACUUCAAGGUACUUGACUGGAUUGCCUGUUAUAUUGGUUUACACUCAUAGGAAAUUACUUAUAAUGUACUUGUUACAUUUUAUACUGUACUUGCUAAAUUUUUACCACAUUCUGUACAUAUGGCAUUCCGUGAUGAAACCUGUUUCAGUAAGUAUUUUUCUUUAGCUUGUAAUUUUAGAAUAACUUACCCCAUGUAGAUUUAGUAUUUUUCUAACAAUCACUUUUUAAAAGCUCUGUCAGUACCACUCAUUUAAAAAAUAAUUAUAGGAGAUUAUCAUUUGGAUCAUUUUUUUAUCAGUGAAGAAAUUCAAGAAUUUAAAACUCAUCCUUUCUUCAAACUCUAGAAUUUUGUGUAACAUGAUCUGCAAAUACCACUUAAUUGAUAAUUAACCAAUCUUUAUUUUUUACUAUUUAUGUUUAGUUGCUUUUUAAUAUUAAUGGCUAUUUACUCUAUAAUCUAAUGGCAAUACACAGGGUCAUUUGCAUCUAAUAUUUAAGUAUCAUUAGAAUGUUCUCUCUAAAAUAUUAGCUGCUCUUUUUAAGACUCCAUCCUAAAGCAGUGUGACAUUGAAUUCUGCAGAUGUGGUUGAAAUUUCUUAAAUUUCCUUAAUGUUCAGAUAUCUUACCCGUGGGAUAUAGACAUGAUGAUGAUAUUUUUAUAACACUUU